GUGAGGAAUAUUGCGCAAUGGAGGCAACUCUGACGCAGCCAUGCCGCGUGCAGGAAGAAGGCGCUACGCGUUGUAAACUGCUUUUAACCGGGAAGAAACCCCAGGACGUGUCCUGGGUUGACGGUACCGGAGGAAUAAGCACCGGCUAACUUCGUGCCAGCGGCCGCGGUAAUACGAAGGGUGCAAGCGUUAUCCGGAUUCAUUGGGUUUAAAGGGUGCGUAGGCGGAGCGUUAAGUCAGUGGUGAAAUCCUGCAGCUUAACUGUAGACUUGCCAUUGAUACUGGCGCUCUUGAGUGCGCUUGAAGUGGGCGGAAUGUGCCGUGUAGCGGUGAAAUGCUUAGAUAUGGCACAGAACACCAAUUGCGAAGGCAGCUCACUAAGGCGAUACUGACGCUGAGGCACGAAAGCGUGGGGAUCGAACAGGAUUAGAUACCCGGGUAGUCC
rnacentral:rRNA from 1 species